rnacentral:rRNA from 1 species
GGGACACGUGGUAUCCUGUCUGAAUAUGGGGGGACCAUCCUCCAAGGCUAAAUACUCCUGACUGACCGAUAGUGAACCAGUACCGUGAGGGAAAGGCGAAAAGAACCCCGGCGAGGGGAGUGAAAAAGAACCUGAAACCGUGUACGUACAAGCAGUGGGAGCCUCUUUAUGGGGUGACUGCGUACCUUUUGUAUAAUGGGUCAGCGACUUAUAUUCUGUAGCAAGGUUAACCGAAUAGGGGAGCCGAAGGGAAACCGAGUCUUAACUGGGCGUUAAGUUGCAGGGUAUAGACCCGAAACCCGGUGAUCUAGCCAUGGGCAGGUUGAAGGUUGGGUAACACUAACUGGAGGACCGAACCGACUAAUGUUGAAAAAUUAGCGGAUGACUUGUGGCUGGGGGUGAAAGGCCAAUCAAACCGGGAGAUAGCUGGUUCUCCCCGAAAGCUAUUUAGGUAGCGCCUCGUGAAUUCAUCUCCGGGGGUAGAGCACUGUUUCGGCAAGGGGGUCAUCCCGACUUACCAACCCGAUGCAAACUGCGAAUACCGGAGAAUGUUAUCACGGGAGACACACGGCGGGUGCUAACGUCCGUCGUGAAGAGGGAAACAACCCAGACCGCCAGCUAAGGUCCCAAAGUCAUGGUUAAGUGGGAAACGAUGUGGGAAGGCCCAGACAGCCAGGAUGUUGGCUUAGAAGCAGCCAUCAUUUAAAGAAAGCGUAAUAGCUCACUGGUCGAGUCGGCCUGCGCGGAAGAUGUAACGGGGCUAAACCAUGCACCGAAGCUGCGGCAGCGACACUAUGUGUUGUUGGGUAGGGGAGCG